rnacentral:sRNA from 1 species
AUAUUGUGCUAAAUAGUUUGCCUUAGUAUUACAUAAACAUGAAAUAGAAGAAAGCAAGAAAAGGAGACACAUAGCAAUUCAAGAUCUUCUAAAAAAUUAGAGAAAGCGAGUCAUUCUUCAGGGGACUGUACCAUCAAAACUUACUCUGAAUAAUUAUCUGUUUCAAAUGCCUGACACUUUAUCCUUCUUGAAAGGAUAUUUUUUAUUGCCAAUAUUAAAACUUCCAAUUCCGAGUGAAAAAGAAAGGGACACCUCCGAAGACACUUUGCACCAAGUAAAAUUGUAUUGUCAAUUCCUAGGAAACACCACCAUACUAAAUUCAUAGAUGGAUCUGCCGAUUUCCAUGAAUUCAUCAAUCCUACAUCUUAAAGAUUGAAUUGGAGUUUCCAAAGUAUCCCUAAUAACACUAGAUUCAGUUGGAGCUAAUUGAGCUCCUUCUCACAUUUGUUUUUUGUUACUCCAAACGUGAUUUAAAAUAUCUGAAAUUCAACCCUUCAGUGAGACUCUUGUCUUGUACCUCUAGUACAUCUCCCAUCAUCAAAUCCUUUUGCUCAUCCUCU